GACAACGUGGCCGAGCGGUUAAGGCGAUAGACUAGAAAUCUAUUUCCCUCUGGGAGCGCAGGUUCAAAUCCUGCCGUUGUCG